CCUGUGUCUCAUUGUCUCCUCUCUCUUGGUGUAUUUAGUCUGUGCCCCCCCAGUCUGUCUUUGCUGCUUUAGGUGGCCCAGUACACGAUGACAGUGUGACAGUGAACCAGCAUGCACAAACCCUGAAACUGAACCAGCUAAAUGUCACCCACAAACCUGCGGGAGUUGCAGUAGUCAGCACAGAGUGUCCAGUUCACAUCCUGACAGAUCUCAGCCCAAAAACGUCAGAGCUGC